CAAACAAGGACUUCAGUGUUUGCUGUAUUAAGUAAACAAAUAGUUAGCAGCCAUCCAGUUUUUAUGACAUCAAUACAGUUUUGAAGAACAGAUACCCUAGAAACAUUUUGUGGAGAAAAGGAGAUGCACAGCUGUAUGUCAUCUGCAUAACAA